AUGGAGAGCGGUGUCGUGUCGAAUCGUUUCUGCCAGACAGAUAGCGGGAACAGCACGCACCUAUCCUGUCAUACAAAAAUAAGGCUAUGACUGCUGAGUGGAGUGCAGGAGGCAGCUACUGAACCUUACGAGAGAAGAGUCACCAUGCGUCACUAGGUUUAGGUCCCGAUUCUCCACCUGAAUGGAGUCUAUGCAUCCUCGGAAGCCCUGGUAGUAGGCUGGAGGCAGACCACGCGGCAUCUUUGGAGACCCACCUGUGCAACAUGAAAAAUUUUGCCAUUGGUGUUAAGUGUGGUAGAACCACGGUUAGCAAGGCCCUUUACUGGACGUUCAUUGUCAACUCUGAGGACUCCGAGACGUUUCCGUCGAUGUACUACCAGCACGUGCCACUGACCAUCAUCCACGCGC